UUAAAUCUGAAUGCCGUCCCAUUCAGUUCCAGACGCACCACGUGGGCUGAGGAAAGGAAACUCAAUACUGAGACGUUUGGAGUGUCGGGACGGUUCCUUCGUGGCCGCAGCUUUCGUGGUGGGUUUCGAGGUGGAAGGGGUAGCGGAGCAGCAAGGAGGAACCAAACCACUCACAGAGCUGGUACUGGCAGAGUGUAACUUCACAGGUUCUAACAUCUCUCCUGAGAGGAUGAAAAUGUACAUAGAAAACAACUGACUGCUGCACUAAUGUGGGAAAAUGGUUCAUAUUGUUUACCGUCUCAGCUCAAAUGACAGAACUUCAUGUACUACUGCUUAUAUUCUGGACUUACUUUGGACCAGCAACAGUCAGCUGGAAUAUUCUUUGGAAGAGGGAAUGUGUUCAGGGGUACCUUCUUCAGGGUGUCUUUUCGUUUGUUUUUGUUUUUUUAAGUGCAGAUUAACUUACAUGGUUCUUCUUUCGGGUCUCUCAAAGGCUGCUAUAGUCUAAGCUUAAGUCAGACUCCUUUUCUGAACCCUGAAGAAGUUAAAUCAUGGUAUUUUAACAUGGAACCAAAGCUCACUUGAAAUAAACCAGCUAACUUGUUUGUUCUGAGUAACCAAAUGGAUUCUUUGGUGCUGCUGGUCUUACUGUACUCAGCAGCGUGUGUGGAGUAGCACUUGGUAUCUGAAAGAAUGGACUCCUGGUGCUGAGGAGUUACGUGUAUUGUCACUUGGGAAUACUGGAUUGUUGCUCAUGUAGUGGUGUAAAAUGACUGUACGACUGUUUGUUAGCCAGCACUAAUGUGGAGGUACUGCAGGCUCUGCAGAGCUGUGCCUCCCUCGAGUUGAAGGGUGCUGGGCACUCCUCCACGGCUCGGAAUUCUGCGGGGUCAGGGGGUGAUGGAGUGCAGAGUGCUGUGCCCCAGCAGGAUGGGCAGCAGGCACUGCUGCUUGUGUGCUCAGAGUGAAGAGCCCCUGGCAGCAAUUGGCUGCCUGGCAAGGAGCCUGGAGCGCCGGCUUCUUGCCUUGCUUUGUACCUUGUUCAUAUAGUGCUAAAUGCAAACAGUUUUCUGUACACUAGUAGACUGUGGUGGAACACUAUGGAAUGUUUUCAUUAAACUAGGAAUGGGGAGUCCAUAUAAUGAAGCUUAACAGAUGGGCAUGUUUAAUUUUUCCUCUGUACCCCCAUACUGUAAAUAGUUUAGUUUUUUCUUUUGUUUUUAAAAUCUGUAUGUGGGGAGAGGGGCUGGGAGGGAAGGGGUUACAUUUGUUUGCAUGAAUAAGUGGGUUAAAUUGCUUAUAAGCAUGUGUCCCUUUUCUGUUGGUAGGGAAUUUUGUUGAAAAAGCACCUUGAUGACUGAACCCCGUACAUAGCUAGAAUUUUUUAGUUAUGCAUUGACUUAGGUUACUGUAAGAGCUUGGAUUUAUUUUUGUAGGACUUUAUUGCUAAGAAUUAGAACAUAGCAGUGGGGCUGCUCUUUGGAGUAAUGUAAAUUGUAAUUAAAAUAAACAUGUAAAUGUUU